GGGGUCGUGGCUCAGUGGUAGAGUGCUCCCCUAGCUUGUGCGGGGCCCUGGUUUCAAUUCUCAGCACCACA
rnacentral:tRNA from 1 species